rnacentral:rRNA from 1 species
CACCCGUUCCCAUUCCGAACACGGAAGUUAAGCUUCUCAGCGCCAAUGGUAGUAGAGGGCAUCCCUCUGCGAGAGUAGGACGUUGCCGGGC